GGAACCAGUGGGAGCAGCCCCCGGCAGCCCUGCCUCCCCUCACAGCCCUGCUGGCACCCACGGGUACGAGCCAGCUUCUGAGAUGGAAGGGUGUGGAAAUAAAGAUGACAGAAAAUGAAUAAAAUAUAAAUUUAAGGAAAGCUGGUGGGGACAACGGGUUGAAUAAGCGAUGAAGGUCAAGGUGAGGUGGGAGAACAGAGCACUGAGUUGUUGGCGCAAGUUGGAACCCGAGAUUCCUGGAAGUCAUCGUGUGGGAAAAUGUGGAAUUCUGUCCUGGGCAGGUGGGCUGAAGUCUGAAGGAAGUGCUCCUGUUGUAGUCACUCUCCAGCAUUGCAUUCUCCUUGUGAGUUUGAAAAGGAAAAUUUCCUCUGUACAUCUCCGGUCAACCACAGGAAUUCCAUCCUGCAUCCCAGCAAAGGAAGCAGCUGAACACUGCUAGACCUCACUUUAGUGUCUGAUACUAUACCACUGACUAUUUGAUCUGGAGGGCUUAUUUUUUAUGAUGAUGGUGAUCAUUAUUGUGUACAGGCAGCUGAUGAGAACAGAGGAAGGAGCAGAUGAUGGCACCAAAUCCUGCCCUGGAGCUGAGCAGGGCUCAAGGAGCAGCCCCGUGUGGAGGAGCAGAUGGUGCUCUGCAAACUAUCAGCUGCAUUUUGUGGAGCAUUUCUGGAGCUGAGGGACAACUGUCUGGGAAUUUCCAGGUCAGGUAACCUUGCUCACUCUUGUGGAAAGCCUGAGGAGCUCCAGGAGGGAUUUAAAGAAGAGAUCUUCCUCUCCUGUUCAGCGUGCAGGUGGUAAAACACUGACUGCCAUGAACUUCAUUAGGAAAAAAACAAAAAAAACAAAAAAAGAAGAAAAAGCUGUGGUUUGGAAGCAGCUGGAUGGCAGACUGCAGGCUGGGAAUGUGGCUGCCAAAACCACCACAAGGAGACUGGGGCACAGAGGCAUUUGUGGAGCAUUCUGUUUGCUAAUUGCUCAUGGAAUUUCAGUGUCUGGAUUUCUUUAGUUCAACUUUUCCAUUCUUCAGACUUGAGCCAAGUGAGCGAUUUCAAAUUACCCAGCACUUUCCAGAGAUGGAGGUUGAAAGAGAAGAAGGGAAUCUGCCAGGUGGCUGCAUUCUGAAAAACAGGCCUUGUUUUCCUGUCCCGUUUUGCAGCAGUCCUGUGUGUGGGAGAAGUACAACUGGGGGACACCUGAUGAAAAGAGGUGCUGGAACAACUGGCCUUCAGCUCUGCCACCUUCCUUUGGUGCUUGCAAAAAAAAAAAAAAAAAAAAAACCAACAAAAAAGACAAAAAAAUCCAAGCCAAAGGUAGUUUAUGUGCAGCUCAGGAAGCUCUCAGCAAUGAGUGUGUCUGUGAUUUAAUAACACAUCUACCCAAAAUGACACUUCUAAUACUCACUGAGAAAAAGAAGGCAUAGCAGCACACAAGGCACUGCUAUUGCAGCAACAAACAGCCAAACUACCAGGCAUUUAUUUUUCAAUGUACACAAUUACUGAAGGAGAAUAAAAAUUGUUCUUUGACACUCUGACAGACCAUAGAAAGCCCUGUGCUUCCCCUACUCCCAUGGUCCUGACAAGAAACACCUCACAAAUUCUAAUAAAUAGUGAAUAGAAAUAAAUACUUUAACUACACAGCAUCGGGUUUCAAAUGGCUUCCUGAAUCAGAAAGUGCUGCUCGUCCAUCUUCCUUAUUUCUCCACUCUGUAAUGGUGGCUCUCCAAAAGUUAAAGUGAGAUGGAUACUGCAAGGAUCACAGACACUACACUGGGAAACCAAGUAUCAGUGGGUACAUCCAGAUUUAUGGUAGGUGAUGGCAGUAAAGUGAAAGUAAAACUGUUUGCACAGUC